rnacentral:rRNA from 1 species
UUUUAUGAGAGUUUGAUCCUGGCUCAGGACGAACGCUGGCGGCGUGCCUAAUACAUGCAAGUCGAACGCUUCUUUUUCCACCGGAGCUUGCUCCACCGGAAAAAGAGGAGUGGCGAACGGGUGAGUAACACGUGGGUAACCUGCCCAUCAGAAGGGGAUAACACUUGGAAACAGGUGCUAAUACCGUAUAACAAUCGAAACCGCAUGGUUUUGAUUUGAAAGGCGCUUUCGGGUGUCGCUGAUGGAUGG